rnacentral:lncRNA from 1 species
UUGGAUUCAAUCAAUCAAAAAGACCGACUUGGACAGUUUUUUUUUUUUUUUUGGACAAACAAAGUAAUUUCAUUAAAGAUGAAGCUAAUACAAGGAAAUGACAUCUCCACAAGAGAGUCCAAAAAAGCCAAGCAAAAGUCGAACACUAAACGAAAAUUACAAUGAGAAGGCCCCACAGUGAGCAGCCCAAAGCAACAACCAAAUCGAAAACCAUAGACAGCCACCUCCACCAACACAGUCGCAUUGAAACUGCGGAUCAGUCACCACCACUCGGAGAAAGGGCCAAAGAACCAAAAGGAUGAACGGAAAAUGGGGGUAGGCAAGCUACCCGCACUGGAAAUGCUCCCAUAAUCCUACCCAAUAGUGCAAAAAGCACUUUGAAUAGUGUGAAGCAGCAAGGGUAGAUGUUAGGAGAUUCACGAUGAGGAGCUAUGAUUGGAGAGGAACAAGGCAAAGAAGGAAAAUCUGAGAUAAACUCAGGGAAAACUGAGACCAAGCUCAGAGCUACCUGAGACACAAAAUGCUUAGACAGAAAGCAAACGAAAGCUAAAAGCAUAAAAAGAUAAACCAAGUCUCCAACCAUGGUGGCUUGGAGAGGGAAAACCUGAGGUGGAGCAGGAGGAGAAAGGGGAUAUGGGGAAAACGGGAGGAUAGGGAGGGAAAGAAGGGGAUAAAGAAAGGAAACAAGGGUGGAGAAAAGGGAAGAGGAAGAAGGGCGAAAAAACAGGAAGAGAUAGACGAAAGGGAUGAAAAAAAGAGAGGAGGACGAACGAGGAAUGCAGAGGAGGACGAGGAGGGGAGGGUUAGGCUGCCGCCGACCUCAAGCCGGAACAAAGAGGCCGACGACAAAGGAGGUUUCAGAGGCUAAGGUUUUACUUUGGGGGAAGAAGAAGGCACAAAGUCAUAGGAAAAGACCGACAUGGACAAUUAGUUGGACUGAGCUCGACCUAAAAACCAGAUGAAGGAAAAAAAGGAAAAAACAAAAGGACAAAAGAUUUUUUUUUUUUUUUAAACAACAAAUUUUGUUAAAUUAGAUGUUAAGUUAAUUAUUGACGGUAUUUAAAUUCAUAUCAUCGUGUAAACACUCAACUCCGACCACUUGCCAACGGGUUAGAAGAUUAGUUAGAAGGCCAUACAC